CUUAUUUCCCUCAAUCUCCAGGGGAUCAUGGGCCCGUGACAUGGCAGAAAGCAGAGAAAUACUUGCCCAGCAGAACUCCAGCCAGGCGUGACUUCAAUCAUCCACCUGCUCCAGGGGACAUUCGGGCAGACCACCCUGUGCAAAGGCUGUGACGUUGCCACUCUGGAAUAACACGGUCACCAACGUGUAGAGAACCCUCAGCCUGCAGGGCGAUCCCACAGGUCAGCAUGGCUUCCCACUCGUCAAACCUCCUCUCCUCUCUUUAAACUUCACACCUCCUCCCCUGUCCCCUCUGUGGUAACUGCUUCCUAACGAGCCCUUGACGAUCCCAGCCUCCCGGUGCUCACACCCUGUGUAGGCCCGACGCACACACGGAAUUAGAGCUGACCUGUGUGACCAGCAGAAUAUGGCUGAGGAGACAGCGGGGGUGGGUGCAGGGGUGACUUUCAGGACCAGGUCUUGGAAGGCACUACAGCUGCUUCCGCCUUGGUCUCCUGGAUGUUGCUCUAGAGGACACCAGUUGCCAUGGUGGGAAGACGCUCAAGUGGCCCUGUGGAGAGGCCUAUGUGGAGAGGAACUGAGGCCUCCCACCGACGGCCAGCUCUGACUCGCAGGCCAUGGAGUGGCCCCCGGUACCCGUUGAGCCUUCAGAUGAUGCAGACCCAGCUGACAGCCUUCUGCAAGUUUCCAGCCAGAGCCUUCCAGCCAAGCUGCUCCUGAAUUCCUGAAACACAAAAACAGUGAGAGACGAUACAUGGUCAUUGUUUCAAGUGACUAAGGUUUGAGAUCAUUUGUUAGGCAGCAAGAGAUGACAAAUCAUCUCAUUUUCAGCAGACAAUCCCGAUCCUGCUUCUCAGGGUAAAGAUCAUGAGGAGGAAUCUACUUUCCUGUGUUGCUGCCAGCACUGCAACCUGUGCCCCACCCUUCUGCCUCCUCCCAUCGCAGACAAGGAGCUGCCUGCCUUCUCCGCAGGGCUUGCUGGGCAGUUCUGGCCUGGGGUCCACCCUCCUGCUUUUGAGGAGCUGUCUGUGCUCGAAGCUCUCUCCUCCGCCCUUUCCCUUCUAGCUCUCCCGUGCUGCUAGACCCUUCCUCAUGCCCCUCAAGCCUGAUGUGGCAUCUUCUGUAGUGCGAUGAGCCCAUCCUUGGGGUACAGCUUUCUUUCCGGUUACUGCCCCGUCUGUAUCCCCCAUCCCAGCCACAGCUCUUCACUCUGUCCCCUUUCCUGAGUCCUCACACGGUGCAAUCUGGCUUCCCUACUAUCAUCCCAAGGACAAUACCCUUGAUGGAAUCGACAAUGACCUUACUCACCAGGGAGACGUGGAUUGCAGCAACUCUGGCGCUAUUUCCUAUCUGGCAGGUCAACAGAGACACAGUGGCCCACACUCUUCAUUCUCACACACUGCUGGGGGUAACCCCUAGGGAAGGAAACGUGCUGAUGUCAAGCAAACCUGCAAAAAACAUUUGUUCUUUCCUAGAACCCACUUCUAGAAAUCUAUCUCAAAGGUACACAAAUACUGAAAGACACGUGUAAGAUGAUUCGCUGUGGCACUUCAUAUAAUCGCAGAGGAUUGAAAACACCACAAGUGACCAUCAGUAGGGGAUUGGGUGAAUAAACUAUGUGAUAGCUUUAAGGUUGGUGCAAAAGUGAUUGCGGUUUUUGCCAUUACUUUCGAUGGCAAAACCUGCAAUUACUUUUGCAGCAACUUAAUAAAUAACAAAGAAACAUGUAGCCAGGAAAAAAAAACCCCAAACCAAAACCAAAACAAAGAACCCCUGAAAAGAUUUCUAGGUAUUCAGAGAGAUUAUCUCCAAUAAAUUUAAGUGAAAAAAAAAUCAAGGUACAAAGCAAUGUCAUGUGUCCUUUUUAUAAGACGAGAAAGCCUCCUUUCUCCAGAUUUAUAGAAUAAAACGUAACUCCAUAAAGCCAGCUUCUGGAGGUUUCCAUGUGUGACCUCCAUGACAUGAACCCAAAAGAUAAAAGGAGUGAAGGGUGUGAAUGGGCAGGGAUGGGGGC
rnacentral:lncRNA from 10 species